rnacentral:rRNA from 1 species
AUGGCUUCUAUCACCCUUGCUGAUCUAUGUUGUGGAAGACAAAAUCAAAUGCUAUGUGUCCGGGUGUCUCGGCUUACGCACUUCCGCAGCGGUUUAGAGAGCGGUCCUAUCAAGCUCAUACACAUGGUCAUCAUCGACGUGCAGGGUAACUGCAGUUAUGCAGUUGUACCAACAUCAUUUGCCGGUGCUUAUUUACAUGUCUUACAAGAGCGGAUUAUCUAUAAGCUUGGCUACUUGAUGGUCUGGCCACUGCUAAACAUACUGAAUCCUGCUGCAGCUCCACGCAUGAGUUUAUCUUAG